rnacentral:tmRNA from 1 species
GGGGGUGAAAGGCUUCGACCCAGAUAGGCAGAAUAGAAACUGCAUGUAGAGGUUGUCAGGAGGCCUCUUAAAACACCUGGCAAAUCAACAAAUGCUGACAACGUAAAAGUGCCAGCAACGGUUGAUCAGCUUCUGGCUACCAUGCAAGUGGUACCCAGUGCUUUUCAGCCGGCAGUGUCAGUUCUAUAACUGACCCGUCAACCGGCUAGUGCCUGUGCGGCCGGAUUGGCGACGACAACAGGAUAGUCUUGCUCUUUUUAGCCUUUGGGAGGCAAGACGAAACUUACAAAGGAUACCUCUUCGGAAUUCCUCCCGUUGAAGUCCGGAUGGGGAAAAUCAAAGAUCGGGAUAAACAUGUAGUGGUUUCUAUUGUGAUAUCUGGGGACGCGGGUUCGACUCCCGCCACCUCCACCA